AGGGUUUGAUCAUGGCUCAGAACGUACGCUGGCGGCACGCCUAACACAUGCAAGUCGAACGCAGUAGCAAUACUGAGUGGCAAACGGGUGAGUAUAAUGUGGGAAUCUGCCUUUUGGUUUGGAAUAACACGGGGAAACUUGUGCUAAUACCGAAUAAGCCCUUACGGGGAAAGUUUUAACGCCGAAAGAUGAGCCUGCACUUGAUUAGCUAGUUGGUAAGGUAAAAGCUUACCAAGGCAACGAUCAAUAGCUGUUCUUAGAGGAAGACCAGCCACAUUGGGACUGAGACACGGCCCAGACUCCUACGGGAGGCAGCAGUGGGGAAUCUUGCACAAUGGGGGAAACCCUGAUGCAGCGAUGCCGCGUGAGUGAAGAAGGCCCUUGGGUUGUAAAACUCUUUCGUCGGGGAAGAAAAUGACUGUACCCGAAUAAGAAGGUCCGGCUAACUUCGUGCCAGCAGCCGCGGUAAUACGAAGGGACCUAGCGUAGUUCGGAAUUACUGGGCUUAAAGAGCUCGUAGGUGGUUAAAAAAGUUGAUGGUGAAAUCCCAAGGCUCAACCUUGGAACUGCCAUCAAAACUUUUUAGCUAGAGUGUGAUAGAGGUAAGUGGAAUUUCUAGUGUAGAGGUGAAAUUCGUAGAUAUUAGAAAGAACACCAAAUGCGAAGGCAACUUACUGGGUCACUACUGACACUGAGGAGCGAAAGCAUGGGUAGCGAAGAGGAUUAGAUACCCUCGUAGUCCAUGCCGUAAACGAUGUGUGCUAGACGUUGGAAAUAUAUUUUUCAGUGUCGCAGCGAAAGCAUUAAGCACACCGCCUGGGGAGUACGACCGCAAGGUUAAAACUCAAAUGAAUU
rnacentral:rRNA from 1 species